CUUGGAAAGACCAAGUAGGUAUUAUGAAUACACUCUACAGAAGAGGACAGUAAGAAUCAAAUUUGUGGAAGUCUACCCAUCUGUUUCCGUUUAGGUAAAAUGGAUAGAAUAAUAGUACUUACCUCAAAGGAUUGUUGAAGAGAAUCAACAAGAUGAUAUCCCUGAAGCACUGGGAAUAGUGUCUGGCACACAGCACUCUCCCAGGAGCACACCGCGGCGCUAGAGAAGACCAGGAAAAAGGACCUGAGCCAGCUUGCCGUCUUAACAAAAAUUUCAAACUUUGCAAAGCGGUAUACCUUCUUAUUCUCCAGUUCAGUAUUGCCAGUGAAGUCAUACUGAACGCAGACAAGGAAAAGAAAGAAAAAGGUCUUCCAAAUUAUGAAAAUUGGCAAUUGGGCGAUGUUCACAGUGUCCCGUCUACUGCCUGGGGCCCCUGUCAUGCAGCAGCUGCAGAAGGCUGGCUGGUCGUCCUGGUACAUCCCUGCAGGGGAGAACAUGAGCAGUUAAUUGGAUAAAUAAGAACGGUGAUCAUACCUAUACCUUGAGUGGGCUGAAUGGUUCAUACCAACCGGAACCGACAAGAGAAUCUGAUCCUCUUGAUUAUGUAUCGGAACACUCUCUCCCUUUUGGGAUGUUUACUUGGGAAGAUGAAUGAUACAGAGGCAGUUACUUGAACCAAGGCUGAGAACUCUACAAAUACAAUAAGACUGCAGUAAAAGGAUCAAUUCAUUUUCAUAUCUGGAAAUCAUGAGAGGCUUCAUGGAGGAGAUAAUAUUUGAGCUGAGCUUGAAAAAUGAGCAGAAUUUUGAUAGAGUACAUCUCUGACUGAGGGAAGAGCAUAAGCAAGGAUCCCCAGUGCACGCCUGUCCCAUUCUUCAAGUAGUCCCAGCCCACUUCCUUUGGAGUAAGACACCUCUUCCAUGCAACAUUGCAAGAUCAAGCACCCUGCCCCUGCUGGACAUCGAUCAGGUGGGCACAUGGCUCAAGACAAGCCAAUCAGGUACUCCUCUGGGAUUUUGCUUAUAGAUGCUGAAAGCAAGAAGCUCUCUCUUUCUUCUGGAACUAAGCUGGGAUUAUGCGAGUCUAUAGCUGCCUGCCUGUGGCUGCAACUUCUGCACAAAUAAAGCCAAUUUGCAUUGGAAGAAAAUGAGCUCAAUGUGUUAACAGAACUAGAUGAGCAAGAGAGAGGUGACGGCUCCAUUUGAGGUCCUGAAACCAGCUUUAUCUUUGGACUUCCCAGUUACAUGAGCCAGUAAAUUUCCUUCAUUUACCUAAGCCAGCCACAUAAAAAGUUCUGAAUGAUACCCGUAGCUCUUAAUGGUGAGACUGAUCCGUGUUAACUCUUCAUGUUGACCAAGAACAUAUAACUAUACAAUUAUAAAGUAACUGUUUUUGUCUCUCACUGUCCCUUUAAUCCAGACCAUGGGACUCAUUUUCCCCUGCCACUAGCUGAAAAAUCAGGCAGUUGCAUGAGUUUUCUGGUUACUUUGGGGUAAUAAAAAUAAUCUCAAUCUGGUGAUUAAAAUGUUGAGUCCUACGAAUUUGAUUUAAAAUCAGCAUUUCUCCCCUCCUGCAGAUUGAGCAUGCUGCAUGCAGGAAGGGCUGCGGUCAUUUUCUUCUUUUUUUAACUCAUCGACUUUUUCUCCUCUUCUCCCAUCCCAAUAGCUGUGCUUUGUGGUUAGAAUCCAGAGAGAGGGAGAGAGGCAGGAGCUCCCUCUGAGAGCCACUGCUGUGCCACUCUGCUCCGGGGCCCUCUUGGCUUGGCGGGCAUUUCAGAUUGCCCACAGGGCAGCUGCUUUCUCCAUGGAGUGC
rnacentral:lncRNA from 10 species